AGUCCUCUUAAAAGUACCAUUACCUUUAAAUGGUACUUUUAAAUCACAAUUAAUUAUUGGCUUAAUCUUCUUAGUCUUAAUCCAAAUAAAUUUAAACCUAAUCCUCAAAUAAAGCCUUAAUCCAAUUUGAUAAACCCCAGUAUCCUUCUCAAUAUUAUAUUCGGAUCCUAAUUGAACCGAAUCCUGACCCGUAAACACCAAAUUCAAAUCGGUAGUGUUUUUGUGACCCUGAUAAAACGGGUCGGGUUUCACAAUCGAGAAAUUUUGGCCGUGAUACAUAGCCCUAGCUUCAAUUGAAUCAUAGUAAAUCCCAAUUCGUUUAUUAGGGUUUCGAAUCGAGACGUUGAGAUGUAGAUCGUAGUGAAGAGUGUUGUUUUUAGUUGAGAAAUCGAAUUGAGUUAAUGAAGCAUCGGAGAUAUGGAAAUUUACCUUGUUUGGACGGAGAACGAACCAGAGGAUGAAUCCGACGACGGCGAUGAUGAUUAAGAGAGUACAGAGGAUUUGGAAGAUGCAAGUGCAGAUGCAGUUGAAGAUACAGCUGCAACAGCAGGUGAAUGGAUUGCAACAGCAGCCUCCGCCGCCGCCGCCGUGGCCUGGACGGUGGUAGGUUUUUAACGGCGGUGGAAUUGAAGGGCCGUAAUAAGCUCCGUUCAAGUGGGGCUCCGGCAUGACUGAACGGAAAAUUGAGAGAAAAAGGGGAAAAGCAGUUUGAAUAUUAGUG
rnacentral:misc_RNA from 1 species